GUUCAAUGGCCUUUCUGCUUUUCAUUUCUUGGCAAAACUGCUCAUUGGGUAGAGAUGAUUAUCGAUACAAUUAAAUGAUCCUUUCCACCAGCCUAUUCUUGCUAUUUCUAACUUUGCCACCUAUUAUGGAAAAAGCCCGGUUCGUUCAUGAAGUAGGCCUCAGACAUAUCGGGCCGAAACCAAAUUUGUAAAUUUUCUUUUGAUGGAAGGGAACGAACGGUACCAUUCAGCAAUUAAUGUAAAGUUGUGGGUCACUUAUGAUAUUUCACCUUUUCAUUUCCGCAGGAACCGCUAGUAUCGAGGAGCA
rnacentral:misc_RNA from 1 species